AGUGAACGCUGGCGGCAGGCCUAAUACACGCAAGUCGAACGGCAGCACAGUGGAGCUUGCUCCAUGGGUGGCGAGUGGCGGACGGGUGAGGAAUACAUGGGAAUCUGCCCAGUCGUGGGGGAUAACGUAGGGAAACUUACGCUAAUACCGCAUGCGCCCUUCGGGGGAAAGCCGGGGACCUUCGGGCCUGGCGCGAUUGGAUGAGCCCAUGUUCGAUUAGCUAGUUGGCGGGGUAAAGGCCCACCAAGGCGACGAUCGAUAGCUGGUCUGAGAGGAUGAUCAGCCACACUGGGACUGAGACACGGCCCAGACUCCUACGGGAGGCAGCAGUAGGGAAUAUUGGACAAUGGGCGCAAGCCUGAUCCAGCCAUGCCGCGUGAGUGAAGAAGGCCCUCGGGUUGUAAAGCUCUUUUGUCCGGGAAGAAAAGCAUCGGGCUAAUACCUCGGUGUUCUGACGGUACCGGAAGAAUAAGCACCGGCUAACUUCGUG
rnacentral:rRNA from 1 species